CGAGUAGAGUGGCGCACGGGUGAGUAACACGUGGGUAAUCUACCUCUGGGUGGGGAAUAUCAGCUGGAAACGGCUGUUAAUACCGCAUAAUGCAGCGGCAUCUAUGAUGACAGUUGUUAAAGCGGGGGACCGUAGCAAUACGGCCUUGCGCCUGGAGAGGAGCCCGCGGCGGAUUAGCUAGUUGGUGAGGUAAUGGCUCACCAAGGCGUCGAUCCGUAGCCGGCCUGAGAGGGCGGUCGGCCACACUGACACUGACACACGGGUCAGACUCCUACGGGAGGCAGCAGUCGGGAAUUUUGGGCAAUGGGCGCAAGCCUGACCCAGCAACGCCGCGUGAAGGAUGAAAUCUUUCGGGAUGUAAACUUCAUAAGAUCGGGAAGAAUAAGGCGGGGUAAAUAACCUUCGCCGAUGACGGUACUGAUUGUAAGCUCCGGCUAACUCCGUGCCAGCAGCCGCGGUAAUACGGGGGGAGCAAGCGUUGUUCGGAUUUACUGGGCGUAAAGGGCGCGUAGGCGGCGCGACAAGUCACUUGUGAAAUCUCCGGGCUUAACUCGGCAGAGGCCAAGUGAUACUGUCGUGCUCGAGUGCGGAAGGGGCAACCGGAAUUCUUGGUGUAGCGGUGAAAUGCGUAGAUAUCAAGAGGAACACCUGCGGCGAAGGCGGGUUGCUGGGCCGACACUGACGCUGAGGCGCGAAAGCUAGGGGAGCGAACGGGAUUAGAUACCCCGGUAGUCCUAGCCUUAAACGAUG
rnacentral:rRNA from 1 species